GGCGACCUGGCGCCCGCCACCCCGGGGCACGCCCUCGCGGUCGAGCUCGGACCCCGACCCGGACCCCAGCGCCGCCGGGCGAGGGCGGGAGGGGCAGCGCUUACCAGAUCGUCCCGAGCGCGCCGAGCGCGGUCCAGGCGGGCGCAGCGCUGGGUCAAGUUCACGUCCGGCCCGCGGGCUGCCCGAGGUCCCCGGGGCGCGGCCGGGGGCAGCGGGAGGCGCGGGAGGCUGAGGUCCCAGGUGGCCGCCGUGGCCGCCCCCGAGGCGCUGCUGUCACCCCGGCCGCGCCCCCCAACUUUCUGCACAGUCGCGGAGCUGGAAGUUUCCGGGCUCCGCGGACGCUGGGCUGGGUUUCAGCCGCGGCUCUGAGGUUGGCAACAAAGAGGGAAAGAAGGAGAAAAAGCAGGCCGGGCAGGGGAGGAAGAGACCCGCGCGGAGGCCGCGGCGCAGAGCCCCAGAACUUCCAAUUCUACCCAGGCGCUUUUUUCGUUGUGUUUUUUUUCUUAAGAGAUGAUUGUCAGCUGAUGGUCGCUUCCAGCAUUCACAGGGGACCUCCUUAGUGGGAAAGUAACCUGCCAGAGAACCCCAAGAUCCUUUUCCACAGGCAUAACAAGCUUUGGCGUCAGUGGUCUGCAAUCUCCCCAAGGCCUACGGUCAGCCUCGCCUGCUCCACAGCACAGUGACUGAAGCUCCAUUAGGGUGUGGGCCAGGUGUUGACGUUUCUUUUUCUUGUUCUUUUUUUUUUUUUUUUGAGACAGAGUCUCGCUCUGUUGCCUAGCUGAGCACAGUGGCGCGAUCUUGGCUCAUUGCAACCUCCACCUCCCGGGUUCAAGCUAUUCUCCUGCCUCAGCCUCCCAGCAUGCUGACAUUUCAAGAGACUCGGCAGCCUCCCGGUUCGUAGUGAAAGCUCCUAUGCAGGCCCUGGCCCUUUCCUGGGAAGGGAAGCCUGACUGUCUCCCACUGCGUCCUCAUUGGAACUCCAUUCCUGAGCUGCGACCACUAUUUUUAGGAUUGGAAAAUGCACUGGGAAUGGCUCAUCUUCCUGAAGUUUGAGCUCAUUUGUUUUCUGACUAGUGGUCACUGGUGAUUAGAGUGUGUCCCAAAGGAAGCUGUCGCCCUAGUCCUAUCAUACCAGGGCUUUGUGGGCGUGUGGCCUGCCCAACGGCAGAGGCCCCCUGUGCGGAAGGGCCCACACUCAAUGCUUGUCCCUGAUCUUAAAAUUCUGAGUCAUUCCUGAUCAAGGGAACCCACGUUUUCAUUUUGUCCCAGGCUCCGAGAGUCACAUCACUGAUCCCGACUUCGGCUGUUGGUCAACUGCUGCAUAAAUAAAAAGAUAAAACAACCAGACAGUGGAAGAUUUGUAAAACCUAGGCGAGUACAAAGUAAGAAAAGGAGAAACCUUUCCGAGUCACCAAGCAAAAUACUGGUCUGGAGUAUCUUUUCAUCUAACUAUACGGAUUUUUACAUAAUCAGGAUAACUUUGUAUAUACGCUUGCGGCUACCUUUAAAAAUAACAUUUUUUUUUUCUAAUUGCAAGACUACACGUUUACUGUAUGGAAUUUGGAAAAUUGGAAAAAAUUACAAAGAAAAAAAGUAGCCUGAGAUUCCCUCACACGAGAUCACCAUUGUUAACAGUUGACGUUCUUUCUUUCUUUUUACACAAUUAUGCAUUUGUUGAGACAAAAAAUAGAUCAUGCUGUAAAUACUACAA